GUGAGGAAUAUUGCGCAAUGGAGGCAACUCUGACGCAGCCAUGCCGCGUGCAGGAAGAAGGCGCUACGCGUUGUAAACUGCUUUUAACCGGGAAGAAACCCCAGGACGUGUCCUGGGUUGACGGUACCGGAGGAAUAAGCACCGGCUAACUUCGUGCCAGCAGCCGCGGUAAUACGAAGGGUGCAAGCGUUAGCCGGAUUCAUUGGGUUUAAAGGGUGCGUAGGCGGAGCGUUAAGUCAGUGGUGAAAUCCUGCAGCUUAACUGUAGACUUGCCAUUGAUACUGGCGCUCUUGAGUGCGCUUGAAGUGGGCGGAAUGUGCCGUGUAGCGGUGAAAUGCUUAGAUAUGGCACAGAACACCAAUUGCGAAGGCAGCUCACUAAGGCGAUACUGACGCUGAGGCACGAAAGCGUGGGGAUCGAACAGGAUUAGAAACCCGAGUAGUCC
rnacentral:rRNA from 1 species